UACGUAGGGUGCGAGCGUUGUCCGGAAUUAUUGGGCGUAAAGAGCUUGUAGGCGGUCUGUCGCGUCUGCUGUGAAAAUCCGGGGCUCAACCCCGGACUUGCAGUGGGUACGGGCAGACUAGAGUGUGGUAGGGGAGACUGGAAUUCCAGGUGUAGCGGUGAAAUGCGUAGAUAUCUGGAGGAACACCGGUGGCGAAGGCGGCAUCCUGGACCGACACUGACGCUGAGGAGCGAAAGCCAGGGGAGCAAACGGG
rnacentral:rRNA from 1 species